CUACGGAGGGUGCAAGCGUUACUCGGAAUCACUGGGCGUAAAGCGCGCGCAGGCGGUUUGAUAAGUUGGAUGUGAAAUCCUAUGGCUCAACCAUAGAACUGCAUCCAAAACUGUCAAACUAGAGUCUGGGAGAGGAAGAUGGAAUUAGUUGUGUAGGGGUAAAAUCCGUAGAGAUAACUAGGAAUACCAAAAGCGAAGGCGAUCUUCUGGAACAGUACUGACGCUGAGGCGCGAAAGCGUGGGGAGCAAACAGGAUUAGAAACCCGGGUAGUCC
rnacentral:rRNA from 1 species